rnacentral:rRNA from 1 species
GAUGAACGCUGGCGGCAUGCCUAAUACAUGCAAGUCGGACGAGGAUGUUUCUACAUCCUAGUGGCGAACGGGUGAGUAACACGUAGGGAACCUGCCCCUAAGACGAGGAUAACUACUGGAAACGGUAGCUAAUACUGGAUAGGAUAAGUUGACGCAUGUUGGCUUAUUUAAAGGUGCCUAUAAAGCACCGCUUAGGGAUGGCCCUGCGGCGCAUUAGCUAGUUGGUGGGGUAACGGCCUACCAAGGCGACGAUGCGUAGCUGUGCUGAGAGGCAGAACAGCCACACUGGGACUGAGACACGGCCCAGACUCCUACGGGAGGCAGCAGUAGGGAAUUUUCGGCAAUGGGGGAACCCUGACCGAGCGAUGCCGCGUGAGUGAUGAAGGUCUUCGGACUGUAAAACUCUGUUAUUAGGGAAGAAUACUAUAGGGAGAAUGCCUUAUAGAUGACGGUACCUAAUGAGGAAGCCCCGGCAACUAUGUGCCAGCAGCCGCGGU